rnacentral:rRNA from 1 species
GACGAACGCUGUUGGCGUGCUUAACACAUGCAAGUCGAACGGAAAGGCCCUGCUUUUGUGGGGUGCUCGAGUGGCGAACGGGUGAGUAACACGUGAGUAACCUGCCCUUGACUUUGGGAUAACUUCAGGAAACUGGGGCUAAUACCGGAUAGGAGCUCCUGCUGCAUGGUGGGGGUUGGAAAGUUUCGGCGGUUGGGGAUGGACUCGCGGCUUAUCAGCUUGUUGGUGGGGUAGUGGCUUACCAAGGCUUUGACGGGUAGCCGGCCUGAGAGGGUGACCGGCCACAUUGGGACUGAGAUACGGCCCAGACUCCUACGGGAGGCAGCAGUGGGGAAUAUUGCACAAUGGGCGGAAGCCUGAUGCAGCAACGCCGCGUGCGGGAUGACGGCCUUCGGGUUGUAAACCGCUUUCGCCUGUGACGAAGCGUGAGUGACGGUAAUGGGUAAAGAAGCACCGGCUAACUACGUGCCAGCAGCCGCGGUGAUACGUAGGGUGCGAGCGUUGUCCGGAUUUAUUGGGCGUAAAGGGCUCGUAGGUGGUUGAUCGCGUCGGAAGUGUAAUCUUGGGGCUUAACCCUGAGCGUGCUUUCGAUACGGGUUGACUUGAGGAAGGUAGGGGAGAAUGGAAUUCCUGGUGGAGCGGUGGAAUGCGCAGAUAUCAGGAGGAACACCAGUGGCGAAGGCGGUUCUCUGGGCCUUUCCUGACGCUGAGGAGCGAAAGCGUGGGGAGCGAACAGGCUUAGAUACCCUGGUAGUCCACGCUGUAAACGGUGGGUACUAGGUGUGGGGUCCAUUCCACGGGUUCCGUGCCGUAGCUAACGCUUUAAGUACCCCGCCUGGGGAGUACGGCCGCAAGGCUAAAACUCAAAGGAAUUGACGGGGCCCCGCACAAGCGGCGGAGCAUGCGGAUUAAUUCGAUGCAACGCGUAGAACCUUACCUGGGUUUGACAUGGAUCGGGAGCGCUCAGAGAUGGGUGUGCCUCUUUUGGGGUCGGUUCACAGGUGGUGCAUGGCUGUCGUCAGCUCGUGUCGUGAGAUGUUGGGUUAAGUCCCGCAACGAGCGCAACCCUUGUUCACUGUUGCCAGCACGUUAUGGUGGGGACUCAGUGGAGACCGCCGGGGUCAACUCGGAGGAAGGUGGGGAUGACGUCAAGUCAUCAUGCCCCUUAUGUCCAGGGCUUCACGCAUGCUACAAUGGCUGGUACAGAGAGUGGCGAGCCUGUGAGGGUGAGCGAAUCUCGGAAAGCCGGUCUCAGUUCGGAUUGGGGUCUGCAACUCGACCUCAUGAAGUCGGAGUCGCUAGUAAUCAAAGAUCAGCAACGCUGCGGUGAAUACGUUCCCGGGGC